AGUGAACGCUGGCGGUAGGCCUAACACAUGCAAGUCGAACGGCAGCACAGUAAGAGCUUGCUCUUACGGGUGGCGAGUGGCGGACGGGUGAGGAAUACAUCGUAAUCUACUUUUUCGUGGGGGAUAACGUAGGGAAACUUACGCUAAUACCGCAUACGACCUACGGGUGAAAGCAGGGGAUCUUCGGACCUUGCGCGAUUGAAUGCGCCGAUGUCGGAUUAGCUAGUUGGCGGGGUAAAGGCCCACCAAGGCGACGAUCCGUAGCUGGUCUGAGAGGAUGAUCAGCCACACUGGAACUGAGACACGGUCCAGACUCCUACGGGAGGCAGCAGUGGGGAAUAUUGGACAAUGGGCGCAAGCCUGAUCCAGCCAUACCGCGUGGGUGAAGAAGGCCUUCGGGUUGUAAAGACCUUUUGUUGGGAAAGAAAAGCAGCAGGUUAAUACCCCGCUGUUCUGACGGUACCCAAAGAAUAAGCACCGGCUAACUUCGUG
rnacentral:rRNA from 1 species